GAGUUUGAUCGUGGCUCAGAACGAACGCUGGCGGCAGGCUUAACACAUGCAAGUCGAACGCCCCGCAAGGGGAGUGGCAGACGGGUGAGUAACGCGUGGGAACGUGCCCUAAGGUUCGGAACAACUCCGGGAAACUGGAGCUAAUACCGAAUGUGUCCGAGAGGAGAAAGAUUUAUCGCCUUAGGAUCGGCCCGCGUUGGAUUAGCUAGUUGGUGGGGUAAAAGCCUACCAAGGCGACGAUCCAUAGCUGUUCUGAGAGGAAGAUCAGCCACACUGGGACUGAGACACGGCCCAGACUCCUACGGGAGGCAGCAGGUGGGGAAUCUUGGACAAUGGGCGCAAGCCUGAUCCAGCCAUGCCGCGUGAGUGAUGAAGGCCUUAGGGUUGUAAACUCUUUCGCCGAGGACGAUAAUGACGGUACUCGGAGAAGAAGCUCCGGCUAACUUCGUGCC
rnacentral:rRNA from 1 species